UACCAGCACCCCGAGUGGUCGGGACGUUUAUUGGGCCUAAAGCAUCCGUAGCCGGUUCUACAAGUCUUCCGUUAAAUCCAACUGCUUAACAGGUGGGCUGCGGAAGAUACUAUAGAGCUAGGAGGCGGGAGAGGCAAGCGGUACUCGAUGGGUAGGGGUAAAAUCCGUUGAUCCUUUGAAGACCACCAGUGGCGAAGGCGGCUUGCCAGAACGCGCUCGACGGUGAGGGAUGAAAGCUGGGGGAGCAAACCGG
rnacentral:rRNA from 1 species